rfam:Erinaceus europaeus unplaced genomic scaffold scaffold00169, whole genome shotgun sequence
GGAUGUGAGGGCGAUCUGGCCAUGACAUCUGUCACUCCAUUGAUCACCAGGGUUGAUUUAGCUGAUCUGGCUGGCUAGGCAGGUGUCCCCCUCCUUCCUCACCAUUCCAUGUGCAUCCCUCUCAAAGAUGGGUGCUCAGUCGAAGAGGAUGGUCUUUCCCUAACAGAGACGGACAGUCUUCGGUGGAGGGUGUACGAGUAGCUGUGCUCUCCUGCUAGAACCUCUAAAAAAGCUUUCAAGGUCCAUUUGUAGGAGAAGGUAGGCUAGUCAAGCUUCCAAGAUUCCAGACACAUAUAAAUGAGGCGCUGCAUGUGGCAGUUUACCUUAAAAA